rnacentral:rRNA from 1 species
AGCGAACGCUGGCGGCAGGCCUAACACAUGCAAGUCGUGCGCCCCGCAAGGGAGCAGGGCGGAGCGGGUGGGGUAAGCAGCGUGGGAAUGGAUGUCUUCGGGUGGGGUGAUAACCCUGGGAAACUAGGGCUAAUACCGCAUGAUGUCUGCGGACCAAAGCCGCAAGGCGCCCGAGGAGCAGCCCGCGUCCGAUUAGCUAGUUGGUGGGGUAAAAGCCUACCAAGGCGACGAUCGGUAGCUGGUCUGAGAGGAUGAUCAGCCACACUGGGACUGAGACACGGCCCAGACUCCUACGGGAGGCAGCAGUGGGAAUAUUGGACAAUGGGCGAAAGCCUGAUCCAGCCAUGCCGCGUGGGUGAAGAAGGCCCUAGGGUUGUAAAGCCCUUUCGGCGGGACGAUGAUGACGGUACCCGCAGAAGAAGCCCCGGCUAACUUCGUGCCAGCAGCCGCGUAAUACGAA